rnacentral:piRNA from 1 species
CAGAGGGUCUUUUAGAACCACCAUG